UCCAAUAUGCUACAAAUCAAACAAUUCUUUAUAUUUUCAUUGUCACACCUCAUUCAGGUUAGACACAUGACACUUUCAAAAGACACUAAGUGGAUGCUUAAAGAUGGUUCUUCACUUUUUGUUAGUUGGCUCGUCCUCAACUGCUCAACCUCCUAAACUAGCCAUUCGUCAUGAGAUCACCCGCUAAUAAAGAAACGUCCCCUCUUAUCAAGCUACUUGCUUCAAUAGUCAAGCCACAUUUUUUUCAAUGUGAACACUCCUCUAAGCGUAAACAUUUUCUCCCGUGAUCAUUAUGGUCCACUUAUGCAUAACAACUUCAUAGUCCCUUGAAAGGAAUAACAAAACGGGUUCCAUUGCACACAUUCUUCGCGUGCUUCAUGAUGAUAACCACCAUGCCACAUCAUCACUACCAGACAAGAGAACUCACUCUAUAAAUACCCUCAAGAACGAAGGAAAAAUAAUAUUCUUCCAUAUUAACAAACCUUGUGCUCUUACUCUCCGCAUAAACUUCUCCUAGCCUUCAUAGCAACCUUUUUUCCCCUCUUGUACUUCUUCAACUCUCCGCCUAUUUAGGUGAACCGAUCCGCUGCACCACCACAUCUUGUUUCUUAUCUCCUCCAUUGUUGAUAUCCCUUGUCAACAAUCAUAUUAAAAAUUAGAAGCAAUUUGACAAUGAUGGCUCUAACUUUUUUUCUUCUUUUGAAAUUGUGCAUUAAAUGAAUGUAAUUAUUUGAUACAUAACUUGUAUAAUUUUUAAAAUUUAUGAGUAGAUUGAAAAUAUAACGAAUAUUUUAUUAUACAUUUUUGUAUUUUCAAAUCAUUUAAG
rnacentral:lncRNA from 1 species